UACGUAGGGUGCGAGCGUUGUCCGGAAUUAUUGGGCGUAAAGAGCUUGUAGGCGGUUUGUCGCGUCUGCUGUGAAAAUCCGGGGCUCAACCCCGGACUUGCAGUGGGUACGGGCAGACUAGAGUGUGGUAGGGGAGACUGGAAUUCCUGGUGUAGCGGUGGAAUGCGCAGAUAUCUGGAGGAACACCGGUGGCGAAGGCGGCAUCCUGGACCGGUAUCGACGCUGAGGAGCGAAAGCCAGGGGAGCAAACGGG
rnacentral:rRNA from 1 species